UACGUAGGGUGCAAGCGUUAAUCGGAAUUACUGGGCGUAAAGCGUGCGCAGGCGGUUAUGUAAGACAGUUGUGAAAUCCCCGGGCUCAACCUGGGAACUGCAUCUGUGACUGCAUAGCUAGAGUACGGUAGAGGGGGGAUGGAAAUUCCGCGUGUAGCAGUGAAAUGCGUAGAUAUGCGGAGGAACACCGAUGGCGAAGGCAAUCCCCCUGGACCUGUACUGACGCUCAUGCACGAAAGGCGUGGGGAGCAAACAGG
rnacentral:rRNA from 1 species